UUAUAAUUAGGGGUUGAUGAGCAUGUUCUCAGCUUUCCUCUGAAUUCCUCCACUGUACAAACAGUCAUAUUAGAAAUUCUGCUCCUGAUGAUUCUCUACUCUAAUUCCAGCUUCCUGCUCUCCCACAGCAAGCGAAAAGAAGGUCCGAUAUUUCCUACUUUCUCUUCUUUGUUAAAUGUACAAAAUUCGUGUACUUGUAGUAGCUGAUCUAUACAUGUAUGUUUCUGACAUGUUCUUCUGUAUGUUGUAUGUUUUCCUCAAGAAGCCACAGCCGUCCAAUAAUUGGCCAUGCAUAAGGUUGUUGGAGUGCCAAUAGUGCGUGACCAUACCCAAUGUGUGCCCUCCACUCUUCGCAUCUCUGCCAACUGCCACAAGUAUUAACGUGAGCACCAUUCUCAUUUUUAUAUCCCUUCAAGUUUAUGUUAGCUUGGAAAAAUGUUUCAGAUUUUAGAAAAGGAAUGAAAGAACAAUCCUUUCCUUUUUGAGAUUAUAGUUAAAGAAAUCCGAGGCCGAUUCGGUUCUUAAUUGAAAAAUUAUGCAUAAAUUGCACAUAGAAAGUAAUCAAUAGCUCAACUUUUAACUUCCUGAAUAAAAUUUCUAAUAAGUUUGUUGUCAAGAGUGUUAGACUGUUUCCUAGAAAACAUUUGCUGACAUGUAUAAUGUGUUUAGCUUCUAUGAAAAUGUUCAUGUAGUUUUCAAGUUUUAGUCCAACUCCAUUUUCUUGGUCUGUUUACGUGAAACUUGCAGCUCUUUCUUUGUGAAUUAGGAUAAACCCUACAUCUCAAGUUUACUUAUGUUCAUUAUUAGAAAUCAGAGACAGUAAAUGAACAAGUGUUCCUUACUCUUCUAUCCUUGAGCUCGAAGAUAACUGAAUCAUCAGAAAAUGGGAUUGGCCUUGUUGGUGCCACCUGUGAAUGUUUAAAACACUCAUCAUUGAUUUCUAAUGCUGUCCAGCAUCCAGUUAGUAUAUGAAUUUAUAUAUAAAAAAAAGGGAAAAGAUUCUUAUACCAACCUUCGGGUCACAGUUUCUAUUAUAAUCACUAUACUUCUCUGCAACAUUCUCCAAGCUAGCUGCAAAAUCUUUAUCCAUGCAAACUUCUUCAUUAUCAUCAUUUCCACCCUCUUGUGUUUGAUCUUCGUUCAUUAAUUUUCCCACAUAUGGGAAGCCACAGUUUUUCCAUCUCCAUGUCAUUUUGUCCAUAUACCUAACGUACACUUUUCCAUCUGAACCAAUAAGAAAAAGUUGAUUACCUUCAAAGCAUGGGCUAGGGGAAGUGAUCAGGGUUACACCUUUAUUAGGUGUUCCAUGUUCAAUCCAAUUCCAUCCAACACCGGUAUUCCAAUGAUAUUCAACCAGUCCACCAUCUUCUGAAAGCAUAAAUAGUGAGCCUGUAAGUGAUUGUGAUGAUGCCCUCAUAGCAGUUCCAGGCAAUCUUGAUAAAAUCAAAUGUUGCGACUGAUAAUGCUCAUGCCACAAUUCAGUCACUUUGUUAUACUGGUAUAGCUUUCCAUUCCUUCCGAUGACAAACACUAUGUUGUCCCGGAACAGCUCCUGAUCAACAAUACUUGCAACUUUGGUAUUUGGAGGGUUUUGACAAUCUUUCCAUUUGAAUUUCCUCAGGGCAACCUGCACAGAAACUUGAUUAAAUGAUCAGCAAUGAGCUGCUUUACAAGUCUGGGAAAAUCACAGAAGUACCUUUUCUGCUGUGGCUUUCUAGCCUUCUGUAGGAGUUUAAAGUAACAUUUCAGAAUAUUUGUUUCUAUUAAUCAGUAAUGUUUCUUGGUUGCCAGAUCACAUGAAAUACUUGUAUGGAUGGUGAUGAUGCAAUGACAUAAUGAAAGAUUAAGUGAAUCAGAAGUAGGAAAAUAAAUUCUCUGAUGCUUUUAAUCUUUUGUACACAUUGGAGUUGUAUACCAAUAGAAAUAAUCUGGUUUAUUUGAUUCCUGC
rnacentral:lncRNA from 1 species